GCCCAGGUGGUGGAAUUGGUAGACACGCAGGACUUAAAAUCCUGUUCCUUCUGGAGUGCGGGUUCGAUUCCCGCCCUGGGCACCA
rnacentral:tRNA from 3 species